rnacentral:rRNA from 1 species
GUGGUUUAAUUCGAUGCAACGCGAAGAACCUUACCUACUCUUGACAUCCACAGAAUUCGGCAGAGAUGCCUUAGUGCCUUCGGGAACUGUGAGACAGGUGCUGCAUGGCUGUCGUCAGCUCGUGUUGUGAAAUGUUGGGUUAAGUCCCGCAACGAGCGCAGCCCUUAUCCUUUGUUGCCAGCGGUUCGGCCGGGAACUCAAAGGAGACUGCCAGUGAUAAACUGGAGGAAGGUGGGGAUGACGUCAAGUCAUCAUGGCCCUUACGAGUAGGGCUACACACGUGCUACAAUGGCGCAUACAAAGAGAAGCGACCUCGCGAGAGCAAGCGGACCUCAUAAAGUGCGUCGUAGUCCGGAUCGGAGUCUGCAACUCGACUCCGUGAAGUCGGAAUCGCUAGUAAUCGUAGAUCAGAAUGCUACGGUGAAUACGUUCCCGGGCCUUGUACACACA